AUGAACAACACACCUCCACCAACCGGCCACCAUGCUUCCGUCAACCUCAACCUUCUGUCCGCGCAUACACUCUCCGCUGCUACUUCCUCACCUCAUCUCCACGAACAACCCAGCACAUACCUCAUACCCAGCUUCCAUACUCAACCACACGGUUUUACUCCCUCUGUAGCAGACAGACAACACACCCCCUCCAUUUGUUUCAAAACCAACGAUAACUUCCUCCGUCCGAGCAUUCCACUACUGCCUCUCUUCCUUCCAUCACCGCUCAACUUUCAUCACAAUUACUAG